AAGUUCUGUGAUACACUCAGACUGUAAUUGACGGUAGUCAGUGCAUUACAGAACUUUG
ensembl:miRNA gmo-mir-148 gmo-mir-148